CUGCAAGGAUGAGACCCCUGAACUCUCUCUUUCCGACGGCCGAGUGGGGAAACGCUCCAUGGGAAGCUGAGCGGC
rnacentral:snoRNA from 1 species